ensembl:lncRNA
AUGUUGUCUGUUAGUCACCAUUCCUCCCCAUCUGUUGACAUUGACUAUUUGACUGACUCUGUCAUUUCUAAUCACUGUUUUCUGCUUCUUUAUGCUUCUUUUUGUCUGUUUUUUUCUUUAGGGUUGAGUCACCGUACUGAUAUCCUCACAAACUGCUGGCCAAAACAUCCCACUGACUCGUUUCUUCAUGAUCCACUCGUGCUGGAAGGAGUGCACAGGUGGAUCCUGUUGGCUUCUCCAAAAGUCUUCAACCGAUCAACCAACCCAACAUCCCCAACUCUUUUCUCACAAGAUUUGGAUUUUAAAAUUCUAAUUUGGACUUAAUUUAUUUGUUUGAACGCCCCUUCCAGCUGAAUGAUCUCCUUCUGUCCGUAUCCGGCUUCAUUUGUUGCUGACAAACAUUGUUUUUUUUGGCUAAAAUGAAAAUGUUUUCUGGAGAAAAGCUGAUAGACUGAUGCCUUUUUUUUAUCUACGCGGUGGAAAUCCGAGAACAUCCAAACAUCUAUGCACACGGGUGACCGCACAAGCACAGCCACCCACGUGGACCUUCAGUAGUCUGAGUCAAAAUGAUACGUACCAAAGAAAAGCCUCUGUGGUCGGAUUACUCUCACUGCCUGUGCCAGGUGGGUGGAGCUUCUGUGAUAGAAAACACUUGAAAUACAGCGGAGGGUUUUGUUGUUUUUUGGCAGAACUUUUCAUUCUGAACACUGAUGUUUGUCCUGUGAUUACUGCUGGAACUGCGUUUAAGAACCAGUUCGUGCUAAAAUGACUACAUUUUUUUACAUUUUUCCUACUUGUUCUUUUUAUCUUUUCUUUUUUCUCAUUACUGACUACAUUUUUUUUUUAAUUAUUCCCAAUAGUCAUUUUUCUUAAGUUGAACCCAACACAAGAGGGACAGGGGGCUGUUGAUAAGCUACCUUGCCCAAGUAACUGUAUAUUUAAAAAAAAAAAAAGAAAAACAUGAAAUUGCGUCAAAGUUUGACGUAAGGACACAAACUUUAAAUGAUUAAAAUGUGAGCAAACUGUAACGUUUAAGAACUGAGUAAGUUACAUACAAUUAUAUUUAAUGUAAACAGUAUUUUGAAAAUUGAGCAAAUAAAUGAAACAUGGGUCAAACAAAACCCGUUUUUGUCCAUUGAAGUGUUCACUCCAACUUCUCAACUAUUAAAGCAUUUAAGCGGAAUUGUAGGCUUAAUGUUGUUACUUACUCAACGUUUUAAACUAAAAAUGCUUUUGUCAUCCACAUAUACACUUUUUUAGCUUCGCUUUUCCAGCAAACACAGACAGACACUCUGAUGAGCUCAAACACUCGGUUAUUUGCCUUGACAUUAAUUCAAACUCACUGAGUUUCCUAUGAUUCUUAUUCUUAUGACUUAUGACUAUGAAAUGAUUUUAAUCAUACCAGUCCUCUAAAUUUAGGGGUGUGUUUCUUUCAUUUGUGCAGGUUGCAAAGUGCUUCUUUUCAAAGGGAUCUAACAUCAAACAAAUAUAAUCAAAUAUUUACAGCCUUAAGUUUGAAAUAAUCAGGUCUUGGCGUCUUUAAAUAUAUAUUCAACACAGACUGCAAACUAGUUAUUAUAUAAUUGGAAGACUUUAUGAAGCUGGUUUACUGCAUGCACUAACAGUAUACAAUCAAAUGUUAGGAGAAAAACAAAAAGAACGCACAGUCUGCAAAAUCUCUGACUGUCUCUCCGGAGCCUCCUUACUGGUGUCCUCGUCUUGUUGUCAUAGCGAUCAUCAGAGGAGUGACAAGAAGAGUGGCUAAAGCUGGUGAAAACAAGCCCCAGCAUGCAGCACAACUGCAGGGGUUUUAAGAGGAGAUGAAAUGAGCGGGAAGAUGUUUCUUGGCAACCACAUAUUUUGAGGUUUGUAGGGGUAAAUAUUGAUGAGCUUAUGGUGGUGCUUCUUUUUUCUUUUUUUUAGAGACUUUUCUGUUUUUAAACAACUUACCAUUUUGGAGAGUUACUACACACCUUGUCCCUGUUUAAAAAGCACAUUUUCCUGUUUGAGGUUCUGGCUUAUAACUGGCUCACUCAUCUGAUUUCAGGUGCUUUGCCAUCAGACCUUUGACUCUUUCACGUGUGCUGUCUGCAGGUUCAUGGUCUGUCUGUGUGUAGAAGGUGGUCAUGUGAUCUGAGACUUUAACAUGCACUGAUCUCCAAUAAGAAAAGUAUUUAUUUUUGUUUUUGCUGAAAAAUCCGCUGGAGCUGAAGAUUCAGGAAUGUUGCUUUCAAGAGACCAUCCGAUGGUGUUGUGGGUAGUUUCAGAGCUUUAACUGGAUCCAGACAAGAAAAACAAACCUCCUACAUAUGUAGUUUGGAAAACUACAUGGCAGAAAAUGUAUUAUAGAUGAGGAAUAAAUAUGUUUUGUUGUGCUAAACAAGACAUGGUUUGGUGUUUUAAGACAGAGUAACAGGGCCUUAAAUAAAACCGCCCUGAUUGUAAAUAUUGAAGCUAAUGUACUGCAAUGCAAAGAAAAUGUCUGAACUUUUCUUUGAUUAUUUUUGGGGUCUUCUCCUUUUUUUUUUUAAUUCAUGAGUUUGUUCAUGUUUACAUUAACUGUUUGUGCCUUUAUAAAAUCCCUGUUCAAAGCCUGAAAGUAAAUGUAAAAUGAAAUGUUUAUCAGGUCAAAAUGUUCUCUUUUGAUGUUAAAGCUAUAAAACAUGGAACUAUUUUGAUAAUGUUUCUGUGUUUGUUGCUUUUUUAUUUGUAUUGGUCCACCCACAGAAAUGUGUUUUUUUUUUUAAACUAAUGGCAGGCUUCUGUCUGUUCACACAUGACGCACCUGUGUCUAACACCUUUCUGCACUCGCUCACACAACAGUCGAAGCUGUUAAAUAAAAUUAGAUCAGUAGAUAUUAAUAAUAAAACUGUUAGAAAAGGGUUUUUUGAUCCUUAAAUUUGCAAUGACCUUUCACCCCUGCUGUUCUCAUUUUCACCCUUCCAAAGUUUUCUGCCCCGUAAAAACGCUCUAGCAAUGGUUUCAGUUGGCUCUUUUUAAAGUUCUGGUAAAACCGGCAGGAUGACCAGCAGCCGUAUAAGUGACAGCAUUUUUGUAAGUGGAUGAUUUAUUCUGAAGUCAAGCUACAGUAUUAGUCUUUAUCCACACCUUUACAGGUGCAGCCGAUCUAACCGGUUGGCUACUCAUCAUCACUAUUGACUUUUGCUCUGCCAUCAUAAAGCUGAGGGCACAAAGGUUCAACACCAGUCCGUCACUGUAAAUGGGACUAAUUUUAGUCUAGUCGGCAUCAAAAAUCUGAUAACAGAGAAGCUUGACUUUAAAAAGAUUACUAUCAGUUACUCCUGGUCUGCAUGCGAGUUUACUAUCUGAGAGUUUCCGUUACUUUCGAAACCCAGACCUGUUUGCUCUUCAUAGACAUGCCGGAAGAGCGUCAUUAUGGUCACCGUGGAAGAAAAUAUGUCUGCAACAAAAACACUAUGUUGCUAAUGUUGUUGUUUGUUUGUGAGAAGGAAACAGCGGUUGCUUUGGAAACGCAAUGCUGCUUCGGGUCUCAUAUCUUGCUGAUGUGACUUCCAACUGCUGUUUUUUAUUUCUUUUUUUGCGCAUGCGCAGAUACCUGCUGGACAGCUUUGUGGAGAGUAAUGUACAUGUGUUAAUGUAUUCGCUCAUUAUUAAUGAAUGAAGAACAUCAGAUAUUGAUGGAUAUGUGAUGUGUACAGCAUUCAGAGCUGCAUGUCUAGUGUUAUUCAUAAACAGAGCCAAACUGCUUCAUCUGGGUUUAAAAAGCUGCUGUAAAGCAGCAAUAAAGAGCAAACUGCAGGCGCUUGACUGAGUAUUUCAUGAAACCAGUUUGUUUCAGCUUUAGGGGAGGUCUAGAUGUUUCUAAACAACAAUCCAACAUGUCUGAGUGUCUCAUUCACUCAGCUUCUUCACUCCUUAACCACUUAAAGGUGUUCCAAAUAAACAUUAAAGGACUAAUUGCCCCAAAAAAUGGAAAUAUGAUGAAUCCGACAUGCACAUGGAUGGCAGACAGCUUCCGCUGUCUCCACUUGAAAUAAAAAAUGUAAAUAUAUAGUGGUUUAAGAAUAAUAGGCUAAGAGGAAGUAAAACUGUCUGUUGAUGGAGUAAAAACAAAAGAUGUUUCUAAAUUUAGAUUCCUUAACUUUUGAUGAACAUUUGUCCUGCAAGCCCCAUAUACAAUAUAAUAGUAAAUAAAAAAAGAUAUUAAAUAAAAACACAAAGAUUUUGGAAGAAAGAAAUAGUAUUAAUCAAUGUAAACACGUCACACUCAAACAUGUUUCUGCCAACUUCCUGGUUAACUUCAGCAGUAAACCAAAAAAGCGUAAACAGUCCUGUUGUUUUGGAUCAUUUUAGAAUAAAUCCUGGAAAUGUUCUCCACAGUUUUUUCUAUCUUCAAAGUUUAGCUGACUACAGUUCCAGUAGAUCACCGACAAGAAGAUAGUAAACGAAGACACAACAACUCCUCAGUAACCCUUGUGCUAUCCUAGGCACUUUAACAUUGGGAGUUGGGUCAUCUAGACCCACUAGACAGUGCUCUGAACCUUUUUUCUUCAAUGAUUUGUGAACCUCACUGGUGUCCAUGGAUUACAUGAAAUCUUUAAACCUUUAUCCACCUUUGUCAUGGUAGGGAGAACACCUCAAUGGAAGGGUGGGGUCAUCUAAGAUAGGACAAGGGUCACCCCCCCCCCCCCCCGUCCUUCCAUCUAAACUGAUAACAUUGUUCUCUACGAACCGACUUUUUUCAGACAACAUCCAGUAUGGCUUCUCCAUCAUGCUAGCAGGAAGUCAUGCAACGUCACAUAAACUGAUUAAGACAUUUUUGUGAUAUUCCUUAAUUUUUAUUCAUGAUGUUUUUUUUAUUUAAAUUGGCAACUAUAUUUAAAGUAUUUCUUUUUUCAAAACUUAUUUCAUUAUACUGAACUUGGG